GCGGGUGUAGUUCAAUGGAGAACGGGGCUUCCCAAGCUUUAAACGGGUUCGAUUCCCAUCACCCGCUCCA
rnacentral:tRNA from 1 species